UACGAAGGGGGCUAGCGUUGCUCGGAAUGACUGGGCGUAAAGCGUGCGCAGGCGGUUAUUUAAGUCAGGUGUGAAAGCCCUGGGCUUAACCUAGGAAUUGCGCUUGAGACUGGAUAGCUUGGAGUGCGGCAGAGGGAGGUGGAAUUCCGACGUGUAGCAGUGAAAUGCGUAGAGAUGUGGAGGAACACCGAUGGCGAAGGCAGCCUCCUGGGCCAGCACUGACGCUCGAUGCACGAAAGCGUGGGGAGCAA
rnacentral:rRNA from 1 species